GAAUAUAUUCAAAUUAAUGAGGUGCUGGUUAAAGCUUUAUCUUAAGUGGUUUUGUGCCACAGUUAUGGGGAACCCCAAUGGCAAAGCACCUUAACACAGGCAUUUUUUUAUGGGAAUCUGUUCAUGGUAUUUUUGGUUAUUCCAUGGACAUUGAAUGAAAGGCCAAAUAUAUAAAUUAGUCCCUAAACUAAUUGAUAAAAUAAUAUUGCACCCG
rnacentral:misc_RNA from 1 species